rnacentral:rRNA from 1 species
GUCUAAGGCCAUACCAUCUUGAACACGCCCGAUCUCAUCUGAUCUCGGAAGAAAAAAAGACAUUAAGUUUUCUCUUAGAAAUCCAUGUGGAAACUGAGGUUUGAGAAG